rnacentral:rRNA from 1 species
GAUCCUGGCUCGGGACGAACGCUGGCGGCGUGCUUAACACAUGCAAGUCGAACGAGAAUCUACUGAAAGAGUUUUCGGACAAUGGAAGUAGAGGAAAGUGGCGGACGGGUGAGUAACGCGUGAGGAACCUGCCUUGAGGAGGGGGACAACAGUUGGAAACGACUGCUAAUACCGCAUGACGCAUAGAGGUCGCAUGAUCUUUAUGCCAAAGAUUUAUCGCUUCAAGAUGGCCUCGCGU